AAAUAAGAGGGGGAAGAACUACGCAUAGCGGACGUGAACUGCAGAUGAUCAACUGAAUGAUCCUGAACACCUACCUACGUCAGACAUAACCCCACCGUGUCCUCGAUCGGAGAAGGAACUCACAAAAGAGACAGUCACGGUUACGCACACAGUUGGCAAGUUUUAAUUAAAUUAACUUCAAGUUAUCUAGAACCAGUGUUAAACAAAGUUUCCACGUUGCCACAUAACCGCGGGCACGGCUUUCCGAAAAGAUUUAACCCUGCAGGGGUGCUCCAACUAGUCCAUCACAAAUUACCACAUGC
rnacentral:lncRNA from 1 species